AAUGGCCAGAAGAAAUACACACACACAUUAAUGCAUUGCCUAAGCUAAUUAACAGAUUAAAAAUCAAAUCAGCGUUUUCUUGGAAGGUAAAUAAAGAUGUUCACCUGUAUGGGAACUGCUGAGUCACGGCCUGAACCUCUGAUUGAUCACCCGAGGGAGCACUGAGUCAGCCACAGGAGCACAGGUGAAGGCAAUUCGCCUGUGCUGCUGGAAGGGCUGGAGCCUGGCUCCACCUCUCCUAGACCCAUUUAAGAGCUGGCUACCACGAGGGAAGCAUCUCUUUCUGGGGAUCCCUCCUUUGGAGUUUUACAGCAAGCUCAGAGGAGGCCAAAGACCACCUGAAUUUGGCAGAUGCAGGAGACCACAAAUGCCAACGCUGCCAUCGUGUGCCCGAUUUUAGCACCACAGCUGUGUUUUGGAAACUAAAAUUCACCCUUUCAAGGACACACUAUACCAGAAAUUCACGAAGAUACUAAGUUCAAAUCUACAUUAUUAAAAAUUGCUAUGGGUGAAUAUGUAUACAAAGAAAUGAAACAGACUGGCAAAUUCUGUGCACCUUACUAGCUCUGGUUUAAUUUAGGAAAUUAAACCAUCUGAUAAUUCAAUGGCGGAAAAAAAAAACAAAACCUCAAAAUAUUCCUGAAAAUAACUUGCUUGAGAAGCAGUAUUCCAUGUACAUAACACGGAAAAAGGAAAGAACACAUGGUUCUGAGAUGCUGAUGAGAUCUGUCUGGGUUGCAGCUCAGAGCAGCCUCCUUGCACAGGGGUAAAAUCCUGCAUCUGUGAGAGGUUCCUGCUGAUUUUGCUCCUGCUAAGGUUUUGUUUUCCUCAGUGAGUUGAACAUAGCCAUCCCCAAAAAGCUCUCAGAAGAACUCAGGGUGAUGCACACCAGCAAGUACUUGAUGCCCCAGCAGGAAACAAAAUUCUGCUUCUUAGUUCCUCCUGUCCUAUCUGCAAUUUGUUGGUGACAAAUGUGUUCUGGAUAACAAAGAGGAAGUUUGCGUUUCACUCUGUGGCUGAGUUUAUUAUCUGGAAAGACUUUUAUACAGAAUCUUCACAGCAUCUGUACUAUAGACAGUAUCACAUCACAGGAUUGCUGUUAUGUAUGUUGCCUAAUUGUUAUUUUUUAAAGUUGGAAGUAAUUUACCACUAAGCAGGCUCUGUGAGUAAAAAAUAGCAAUAAAAAGAAUGAGAAGGAACCAGAAUACAUUAUCAAUGUAUUUUAGAAAAUCUAUUUCCUUCCCGAGAAUUCUUCACCCUUUUUAGAAAGCAAGCCUAUUCCCACUGUAGACAGUGGCAAUCUUUUUUGAUACUGAUUCUGUGACAGCUAGAUCAGCUCCCUCUGAAUGCUUUAGGAAAUAAUGCAAAAAGAACUUAGGUCUCAGGAUGAACAGGAGACUGGGGCACCUUGAAUAAGGAAAUCCUUCCUGGAGUGCCUAAACCUGAAACUCAGAGAUGUUACCUCUUAUUUUCUUCACUGAAAAAUACAUCAGAAUUUAGCAAAGAGAAUGUAACUUGUACAUGCCAAAUUAGACAGAGUGAAUGUUUCUGGUGAUACAUACACUGUAUUCACAAGAAGCAAGUCCAGCCUUCAAAGAAAAAACUUGGCUUCCUAGACCUGGUUUUGGCUCAUACACAUCUCAGAUAC